rnacentral:rRNA from 1 species
CGUUGGUGAACCAGCGGAGGGAUCAUUACCGAGUUCUACACUCAAACCCAUGUGAACAUACCUAUUACAGUUGCUUCGGCGGGCUGCCGGGUACCGCCCGCGGAUGCAUCGACAUCCCGGACGGCCCGGCCGCCCCAGACCGGCCCGCCGGAGGUUUCAAACUCUACGUCUACGCUUUUGCAUAUGAAGUCUGAGUGUACAAAAAAAAAUAAGUUAAAACUUUCAACAAUGGAUCUCUUGGUUCUGGCAUCGAUGAAGAACGCAGCGAAAUGCGAUAAGUAAUGUGAAUUGCGGAAUUCAGUGAAUCAUCGAAUCUUUGAACGCACAUUGCGCCCGCCGGUAUUCCGGCGGGCACGCCUGUCCGAGCGUCAUCUCACCACUCAAGCACAGCUUGGUGUUGGCCGACGCGGUUUGUCCGCGCGGCUCAAAUGCAGCGGCGAGACGGUGUCGAGUUUCCCCUACGCGGUAAAACAAUCUCGUAUCGGCGACCCUCCCGGCUCUGCCCAAAACCCAUUCGGGGGCUUAGGCCCUCAUCUAGGUUUGACCUCGGAUCAGGUAGGAAUACCCGCUGAACUUAAGCAUAUCAAUAAGCGGAGGAAAAGAAACCAAC